CUUGCACCUCACUCUUGCUCAGCACGGAGGAGUGUGAACAAGUCUUCUUCCUUCCCUCUUACAACCUCUGCUAAGUCGACACUGAAUGGCCAGAAAGGAUGACGAUGACUGCACCAUCACUACUGUUGUUUCUGUCUAAUAUCCUUCUGGCACUGACUCAGUUACCUCUACCUUCUGAGAAAAAUGAACUGUUGUCAUUAGCGGGUGGGGCAGUGAAAGCUGCGCUGUCAAGGGUGUCUCAUCCACACGGCUCCGUCCUGCUGUUCACUGACGGCACCACUUCG